AUUGAACGCUGGCGGCAGGCCUAACACAUGCAAGUCGAGCGAGUGGCGGACGGGUGAGUAAUGUAUGGGAAACUGCCUGAUGGAGGGGGAUAACUACUGGAAACGGUGGCUAAUACCGCAUACUAUCAGAUGUGCCCAGAUGGGAUUAGCUUGUAGGUGGGGUAAAGGCUCACCUAGGCGACGAUCCCUAGCUGGUCUGAGAGGAUGACCAGCCACACUGGAACGGAGACACGGUCCAGACUCCUACGGGAGGCAGCAGUGGGGAAUAUGGCACAAUGGGCGCAAGCCUGAUGCAGCCAUGCCGCGUGUAUGAAGAAGGCCUUAGGGUUGUAAAGUACUUUCAGCGGGGAGGCGUUACCCGCAGAAGAAGCACCGGCUAACUCCGUGCCAGCAGCCGCGGUAAUAC
rnacentral:rRNA from 1 species